CUGCCUCAAAGAUCGGAAUAACCUGCCGAAAGGCUGGCUAAUACCGGAUAAGCCUACGGACUCUUCGGAGUCUGAAGGAAAAGGUGGCCUCUGUAUACAAGCUACCACUUUGAGAUGAGCCCGCGGCCCAUCAGCUAGUUGGCGGGGUAAUGGCCCACCAAGGCAACGACGGGUAGCUGGUCUGAGAGGACGAUCAGCCACACUGGAACUGAGACACGGUCCAG
rnacentral:rRNA from 1 species